rnacentral:sRNA from 1 species
CCUAGGCGACCCCACCGCGUGCCCGAAAACGGGCCACGGCACCAACCCGAUCGCGGCCGGCUCUCCUGACGU